GACGGGGGGGGGCAAGUGUUCUUCGGAAUGACUGGGCGUAAAGGGCACGUAGGCGGUGAAUCGGGUUGAAAGUGAAAGUCGCCAAAAAGUGGCGGAAUGCUCUCGAAACCAAAUUCACUUGAGUGAGACAGAGGAGAGUGGAAUUUCGUGUGUAGGGGUGAAAUGCGCAGAGUAUCAGGAGGAACACCGGUGGCGAAGGCGGGUCUCUGGGCCGAUGACUGACACUGAGGAGCGAAAGCGUGGGGAGCGAACAGG
rnacentral:rRNA from 1 species